UACAGAGGAGCCAAGCGUUGUCCGGAUUGACUGGGCGUAAAGCGCACGCAGGCGGAUGCGCGCGUGGGGUGUGAAAUCUGGCCGCUUAACGGCCAGGCGCCAUCCCAUACGGCGCGUCUGGAGUGAUGCAGAGGUCGGUGGAAUUGCCGGUGUAGUGGUGAAAUGCGUAGAGAUCCGGAGGAACACCAGUGGCGAAGGCGGCUCACUGGACCGGUUCUGACGCUGAGGCGCGAAAGCGUGGGGAGCAAACGGG
rnacentral:rRNA from 1 species